AGGCGCGUAGCUCAGUUGGUUAGAGCGCUACUUUGACAUGGUAGAGGUCGACGGUUCAAGUCCGUCCGCGCCUACCA
rnacentral:tRNA from 1 species